CGGCCCUGAGCUGGCCGGCUGUGGGCAGAGCGUGCGGGUAAAUGGCGAGGGAUGUCGGGUUUCCACGGCACCCACAGGGCCUCUGCGGUGAGCGCUGAUGGCUCAAACCUGUCAUUAUAAUUAAUGAUCUGGCAGAAGAAUCACUCUGUGCACGGGUGGACAAAGAGACAGUAAGAAAGGACUGAGAUCACCGUGGAGAAAGGCUUGAAACUUGCUAAAAACAUGUUGCUUUCUUCUGAAAAAAAUACUGUAUUUUUUCAAAUUUGCUUUGCUGUGCCAUUUAACUGGUCAUGAGCCCUUCAGCACUGAGUCCCAGGAGGUGUCAGCCUUUUCAAUAUGGAAAAUGGAUGAAGAAGAAGAGGAUGGAAGUAGAAAAGCUUGCGCAAUAAUACCACAUUUUUGACUGACAUGAUUGGUGUUGCCCAAAAAUAUCUUGAUUGCUGUGCUGAGUGUGUGCCAGUGCAAAUGCUUCAAGACUGACCAGUUGGGAACCAUUAGGGAGCUGGCUGUUGGUACAGUUCCAGUCUCCUAGCAAGGCUUUAUCGUGGCUGUCUUGUGUGAGCUCAACAUUCUGCACUUAAUGGAGGUGAUGGUAGGGAAGUGGGCCUGAGCAUGAUGCUGAGAACCACCCUUACUUAAGUGGUCCUUCUAAGCUUCUACCCCGAAAAGUUUCUUGUGAUUUGGAAAGUUUUUUAUUUCCUUGCCUUUUAACUUUUUAUGAAGAACAGCUAUGUGAUUAGAGAUAUUAAAUAUUUUAUAAAAUAAAUGAGAACUCUGAAAGUUAAAAGAUUU